GCGAAUCAAGUCGACGCGAUCGAAACUGAACCAGAAUAAUAUGCAGGACACCAGUCAACGUCGACGGGUCGUCGACAUGUUCGACGGACCAUCGACGUGCGACGUCGAUGGGAUUUCGCAACCAUGCAUUUGCAGGCGCAGGUCAACGGGCAAGUCGACAGAUCGUCGACAUGUCGAUGGGCCGUCGACCCGCUCGUCAAACCGGACCGCUGUAGCCUUUUUGGCUUCCAAGUAUAAAUAUGUGGGUCACGACUUCAUUUCAUAUUUUCCUCCUUCCAAAAAUUAGAAAACACUAAAAUAUUCUUUUCCAAUAUUUUUCAUCAUAUUAGUGAAGAUUUGACAAGACCCGGACCCCGUAAACCUGAGAUGGUGAAGAAGAAAGGUUGCUUCUAGGGUUUCUUCAAGUUGUGGAAUUUAGGGAGUUGAAGUUGAAGUGAUUCUUGGGAUUUUUGACCCCUCAAGGUAUGUCAAUGAUUUCUACCUUUGUAUUUAAGUUGAGUAUCAAGAGUUUUAGUGUUUCUAAGUAAAGAGGGGGUAGUUGUGAAAGUGGUAAGUUGAUGAAAGAUAAAAUGGUAACUUAGGGUUAUUUUAAGAGAUGGUUGGGAAUGGAUUUGAAUAUAUUUUGAUAUAUAAGUGUUGUUAUUGUUGUUAUGGUUGGUAUUAAAGUGGAUGAGAAGUUGAAGGGUUGUUAAGCUUAUGGGAGAAAUGUUGUCCAUGAUUCGUUAAGCUCUCUAUACAUCCAAAGGAGGUUAGCAAGUGAAGUACAUAGUCUAAUGACGGUCUAUGUUAUCUUAAUUGUAGAUUUACAAGUCGAGACAUAGGAGUUAGACGAUUUGAUAUACGUCAAGGUACAGGGAGACAGACAGGUGGUCCAGCUUAGUAGGACCUCUAGAUCUAGCAGUGGUCAGUACGCUCCAUUCGAUCCGGAGCUACAGUCAGUUUUGGUAUGCCCCUUUUGAGACGUGUAUGCAUAUGGGUAUGACGGGACCCUAUCCCGUCCUUUCUACAACUUUUAUUACAGUAGAGGUCUGUAGACAGUUGUAUGUAUUCGUCAGAUGAUGUAGCCUUGUCGGCUUCUAUUCUUUUGCGUACAGCAUAUGUAGCAGCCUAGUUGGCUGGCACUGUUCCUUCAGCAUAUUUAUGUAUAUACAGAUUGUUCAGCGUU